AAUGGGGGACCAUUAACUGACGGACCAGACAGCUGCUUUACUAUCUGGCGCCAGUAUGUGAUUCAUACUCGACUUGCAGUCUAUUCAACAUGAACACCGCUGAAAAAUUAUUAAACAUAACACAAAGGGGAAAUAAGAAGAAGCUUGUACUUAUAAAAUGGCUUCAAAAACUGAAAUUACUCUCAAAAAAGAAGAGAUGCUCUCUGUGUGAAAGAAAAAUGAAAAUGAGAAAAGGUGGCAACACAAGAGAUGGAUAUCGCUGGGUGUGUCGAAGACAUAAUAGAUUCAUGUCCAAAUCCAUAAGAGAUGGGUCUAUUUUCUCAGGCUCUCGCUCCUCCUUGACUUCUUGGAUGAUGUUCAUGCAUAGGUUUGCACAAGGGCUAAGACUGAGGCAAGUGGACUUAAUUGAAGAGGGAGUCUGUGGAAGCAGCCGCACUUUGUCCAAGAUGUCCAAGACACUAAGGAGGGUGUGUGUGCAAGCAGUUAAGCACCUGAAGAGGAUGGGGAAAAUGAGAAUAGGUGGAAGACAUGGUUUUGUUGUCAUUGAUGAGAGCAAGUUUUGUCACAAGAGAAAGUAUGCACGCGGGCGAUUUGGUGCUACUUGGCGCAGGAGAGGCUGGGUUUUUGGAUUGUUGGAAGUCAAUCAACGGAGAAGGAGGCCUGUGUUGAAAUUUGUUCGCAGACGAAAUUCUGAAAGACUACUUCCUAUUAUACAGCGAUAUGUUAGACCUGCAAGUACAAUUUUGAGUGACUCUUGGCGUUCCUACUGCAGACUGAGGCAACAUGGGUAUAUACACUACCAAGUCAAUCACCAGAGGUUUUUUGUUCACCCUGCUACAGGAGCACAUACCCAGCAUAUAGAAAGGUCCUGGAGAACCUUUAAGCAAGAGGUGUACCGUUUCAGAGGCAACAUGACUGAGAAGUCACUGAGAGAGAUCCUACAUUUUAUUGAGUGGA